GGGGGAGUGGAGAAGGGAUGACUUUCCUCUGAUGUCAAAAAUCCCAUCAUUCAGUGCUCGCAGGGAGAAAGACAAGAGGAGAAGAAUGUGGAGAGAAAGAGGGAGAGAGGGAGAAGAAAUGAAGGGAAGGGACGCGCUCAUUUUUUCCCCUAAUUCUGCAGGGUAACGUUUACCACCCUCAUACAUGGAGAAAUGAGCCUGAUCUCGAGUGCCAAGUUCUGAGCAGCCUUGCAGCCCCAGGGACUGCUUACAUCCCCAUCCCGAUCUGGACUUGGUUAGUACUGUCUUGAUAUGAAUAAUCAGGUAGAUAAAAAUGGUCAAGAAACUUACUGCAGUUUCUUCAGGGCUCUCUUUGUGUUAUCUUUUAUUCCUGGCAGUUUUAAUUUUCUGGUCAUUGUCUGUGUUUGUCUGAGAUGUUAGAUAUGCAGCUCUCCUAGGAUUUCUGCAGUGUGGUGAGGAAGGACCAGAGCUGGCUGUGAGUGAGUGUGAUCGAGCAGCAGAUGCAGGAGGGCUGGAGUUGCCUGCAGCUCUGUCCAGGACUGCACUGGGGGAAAUCAAGACCUGAGCAGAUCCUUUCUUAUUUCCAUUCAUUCUCAGGGUGGUUCUUCUCAAACCAAAAGGAGCAGUCAGGUAUAAAAGGGAAGCGAUGCUCGUUAGGGCAGUGUGGGUUCCCAUUCCGGAGCACGCAAAGCCUUCAGCUGGACCUGAAAGCCGGGCAGUGUGCUGGGGUUUGCUCCAGGGCACCACCCGCAGCAUUGGCUUUUCUGGUGCAUGGCAGUGCUGAAUUUGCAGACUGUAGGUUUGGAUUCCCCCUGGGAAGUGCUCAUCUCAUGAAAUGUGGUGCACAAAGCAGAGAAAGGCGGGUGCUGGCUGACUGUCAGUGGGAGAGGGUUGGAGAUGAAGAAGUGGAAGGAGGGCUUAAGGAGAGCGAUGGAUUUCCUGCGCCCAAAUAACAAAGAAGAGGGAAGAAAACCAACACAAAUGUAAUUUUGUCCUGGCCGAAUGAUGCACUGUCAGUCACUGAGGGAUGAAUUGUGCUGUGCAGCAGCAGUCACCUUCCACGAACGCUUCAGGCUUGAUUUAAUACCCCUCUUCCUAAAAGUAGAAGAAAGCACUCCUCGUCCAGUUGGGCCUAGCAAUAUGGCAGCGCACAUUCGGUAAGGAAUCUCAUCAAGUGCUGCUACGAGAUGCUGAACCCUUGCUCCUCCUGUUCUUGGUCUGAAUUUUGGGCGCUGGGAGCUCUGGAAAAGCUGAAUGCUUUUGAAGGAAGAAAUGCUGUCAGAUAGCAGAGUUGGAGCUGGGGGAAUUCUCUGGAUCGGUUCGUGAAGCGAAAGGAUCCUUUCUCUUUAAAAAUAGAAUGACAAUAGCACCCCGGCCCAGAAAUGACUCCUCUGAAAGUUAAAACAACUCUGAGGCAGUUGCUGUCUGCUUCCACCGGGCUGCCAGCGUGGAAAUGAGACCACUUCUUGCGGGAUGGGGGUAUGUGUUUAUUGCACUGCUGUCUGCUCUUAACCCGCUGCACCGUUAGCGAUACGCCGCUGGUGUUGGCCAUUACUUCUUCAGUGCUGUGUAACCAGCAGAGAUUCUGCCCAGGGAAGUAGUUAGGAGAGAAAAAAAAAUAAUCCGCUGAUCUCCUGCUUUCUUUUAUUUGUUUUAAAGUUGGUUUUGUUUUACUGAGGUUUUGAAGGAAACUGUAGCAACAGCGCUGAUGGUAUAGCAAAGCCAAGAGGCGGCUCUUUACCCUCAGAGAAGUGGUGUUAAGGUGCUGAGGGGCACGGAGGCUGCUGCCUGCUAACAGCUCUGACAUUUCGUUUGCAGAAACGCUUUUUUCCUCUUUUAAAACAAAAAUAAAACCAACAAACCAAAGCCAAAAGCCAAACCUAACAAAUUGCAGAAGAGACCCAUGCCUGUUGCCACAAACCCGUAGAUCCGAACUUGUGGUCAUAUUCCACACAAGCUUGUAUCUAUAGGUAUGUGUCUGUCUGGCAAGUGCACAAAGUGUUGUGUUUCUGCAUUUUCACUGAUGAUGUUCGAUUCUGCUGUUUGUGUCUUUCGUCUAAUGCCUUCUUCCCUCCUCCUUUGUUUCUUAUUAAGAAAUGUAAAAUCAGAGCUGCAAAUCUUGCUCUGCAAUUACCGUAUCAGUUUCCAGCUUGGGUUAGAGUUAAAAUACGCUCAUACCAACUAACAACUCGUUUGUGCCUGAACGAAAUGGGACGGGGGAGGUCUGUGACAUCAGCCUGAAGAAAUGAAAUGUCGGCGACGUUACACGUGGGUCUGGCUGUGGGGCAUGGGCAGGGGUGGUCCUGAGGUUGUUGGGAGCAGAGAAAGCCGUUUCAUUUAUGAAGUGACGGGGGUCCAUUCUUUGCUCGGUGACGAUUUGUCUGUGAGAGCAAGAGGUGCUUCUGUUCGCCUUUAUUUUGGGUAACUUCAGCCCCUGCGCACAGUGCAGCCGUGCAGCUCAGUGCCAGAGCCGCCCGUUGGCUCUCCAACUCCUUUCUCCCUCUCAGAUCAGCUCAGUGUAGAAGCCAGGUUCUCCUAAUUUUGUGGUAUUUAUUUCAUUUUAAAUGGUUUUUAAAGUAGAGCAGGGGAAAAACCCAUGUAAGCAGGCAGUAUGAAACCUGCUGGGCAAAGCUGACAUUUCUAAGUGGAACAAUUACUUUUGAAGAAGUUUUUUUUUCAACCCCAACAUACAGAUCCUAUGUGAAAAUAAUUAGAACGUGAACUCAAAAUAAAGUCUGACUGUUUCUUUCCAGCAGCUUUCAGUGUUAAUUUUACCAAAGAUUUGGUCUGUAUUUCCACUUCUAAAUUUCUCUGUUUCUGAACUUGGCUGGUUUGACACACGCUGCUGCGGUCCAAAAAUGUUGUGUUUUUUUUUUCCUCCCUUGCUGAAUUUCCAGGGUUUGCUGUGUGUUUUCUGGUUAUUGUAGAAGCACAAAACAAUGGCAGAGAGGGCCUCUGCUAAUAGAACUGCAGUCUAACUGCUUUUGUUUCUCCGUGUGGAUUGAAACUAGCAAGAGGUGUGACCAAGAAGGAUGCAGGAUGCUCUUCCAGG
ensembl:lncRNA